GAGCAUAUGGUCCAGUCGGUCAGGACACACGCCUGUAACGCGUGAAGCGGGGGUUCGAAUCCUCCUGUGCUCGCCA
rnacentral:tRNA from 1 species